AGAGUUUGAUCCUGGCUCAGGAUGAACGCUGGCGGCGUGCCUAAUACAUGCAAGUCGAGCGAACGGACGAGAAGCUUGCUUCUCUGAUGUUAGCGGCGGACGGGUGAGUAACACGUGGAUAACCUACCUAUAAGACUGGGAUAACUUCGGGAAACCGGAGCUAAUACCGGAUAAUAUUUUGAACCGCAUGGUUCAAAAGUGAAAGACGGUCUUGCUGUCACUUAUAGAUGGAUCCGCGCUGCAUUAGCUAGUUGGUAAGGUAACGGCUUACCAAGGCAACGAUGCAUAGCCGACCUGAGAGGGUGAUCGGCCACACUGGAACUGAGACACGGUCCAGACUCCUACGGGAGGCAGCAGUAGGGAAUCUUCCGCAAUGGGCGAAAGCCUGACGGAGCAACGCCGCGUGAGUGAUGAAGGUCUUCGGAUCGUAAAACUCUGUUAUUAGGGAAGAACAUAUGUGUAAGUAACUGUGCACAUCUUGACGGUACCUAAUCAGAAAGCCACGGCUAACUACGUGCCAGCAGCCGCGGUAAUACGUAGGUGGCAAGCGUUAUCCGGAAUUAUUGGGCGUAAAGCGCGCGUAGGCGGUUUUUUAAGUCUGAUGUGAAAGCCCACGGCUCAACCGUGGAGGGUCAUUGGAAACUGGAAAACUUGAGUGCAGAAGAGGAAAGUGGAAUUCCAUGUGUAGCGGUGAAAUGCGCAGAGAUAUGGAGGAACACCAGUGGCGAAGGCGACUUUCUGGUCUGUAACUGACGCUGAUGUGCGAAAGCGUGGGGAUCAAACAGGAUUAGAUACCCUGGUAGUCCACGCCGUAAACGAUGAGUGCUAAGUGUUAGGGGGUUUCCGCCCCUUAGUGCUGCAGCUAACGCAUUAAGCACUCCGCCUGGGGAGUACGACCGCAAGGUUGAAACUCAAAGGAAUUGACGGGGACCCGCACAAGCGGUGGAGCAUGUGGUUUAAUUCGAAGCAACGCGAAGAACCUUACCAAAUCUUGACAUUCUUUGACAACUCUAGAGAUAGAGCCUUCCCCUUCGGGGGACAAAGUGACAGGUGGUGCAUGGUUGUCGUCAGCUCGUGUCGUGAGAUGUUGGGUUAAGUCCCGCAACGAGCGCAACCCUUAAGCU
rnacentral:rRNA from 1 species